AUGGGGCGCGGGGAGAGCCCUUCCCCUCCUCUCCGGCAGCGGGAAGCCGCCGGCCCUGGGAGCUCCGGGGGCGCCCGGCCCGAGCAGGAAGGAAAAGGGCGGCGGGGAGCGGAGCGGGGCGGGGGAGGAAGGCGGCGGCGGCGGCUGCAGCAGCAGCAGCAGCAGCAGCAGCAGCCCAGCUGGUGGCUGACUGCAAGCGAGAGCGGCGGCGGCGGCAGCAGGCGAGGGCUGGCCCCAGGCUGGCUCGGCUCCGCGCAGCUGGGAGUGCGUGUGCGUGUACAAAGCCGGAGCCCGGGAGCUGCCCGAGGGCGGUGCUCGGCACCACAACGCCAACCUCCCCCUCCCUUCCCUGCCCUCCCCCCCCCCCCCCUCCCGCCGAGAUCAGUCUCUGCCACGGAAGGAGUGGGGAACCGCAGGGGACGCGGCCGGGCCGGCGCACGCUUCAGCUGCAGCCCCGCCGAGGCCGCCCAUUGGGAAGAUCCGUGCUGGCUCUCAGGGGAUUCAAAUCGGCCCUUAAUGCGGGGUAGCUCCUAACGUGGGCGCAGCUGAGCAGGGCACGGCGAUGGAGCAGCUUACG
rnacentral:lncRNA from 7 species